rnacentral:rRNA from 1 species
UGGGGAAUAUUGGACAAUGGGCGCAAGCCUGAUCCAGCAAUACCGCGUGUGUGAAGAAGGCCUGAGGGUUGUAAAGCACUUUCAAUUGGGAGGAAAACCUGCCGGUCAAUACCCGGCAGCUUGACAUUACCUUUAGAAGAAGCACCGGCUAACUCCGUGCCAGCAGCCGCGGUAAUACGGAGGGUGCAAGCGUUAAUCGGAAUUACUGGGCGUAAAGCGUGCGUAGGCGGUUAUUUAAGUCAGAUGUGAAAGCCCCGGGCUUAACCUGGGAACUGCAUUUGAUACUGGGUAACUAGAGUUUAGUAGAGGAGAGUGGAAUUUCAGGUGUAGCGGUGAAAUGCGUAGAGAUCUGAAGGAACACCAGUGGCGAAGGCGACUCUCUGGACUAAAACUGACGCUG